CAGGGUGUGGCUGAGAUAGUUAAGCGACUCUCUUACACUGAGUAGACAUCCAUGCAAGUUGGAUUACCCUGA
rnacentral:tRNA from 1 species